CGGUGAUAAUGGGCCCGUCUUCCGGUAGGGCUGCAAGUUUUUUACCAUUUUCUUUUUUCUCUCGGAGAUACUUAGAUUCUUAGAAGAGUAAGGUUAUGUAAGGGCACGUGUUUAUGUAAUUUUACGAAAUUACAAGCCAAUUUCAGGCGAUGAAAUGAUAAGGAGGAAAAAUAGCUCUACACAGACUAUGCCAUUUUACUAUAAAGUUAUUUACCUAACUAUUUAUUGUAAAAAAUAAAAGUCAACAAAUUUUGUGUCUAACGUUUUGUUUUUCACGAUGUAAAUGGGAUGGAACUAAUAGUGAAUCUACGUGGACCUGUCAUGCUAGAGGGAAGCAGAAAGGACGUUUGGUAUUUUUGUUAGGACGUAAAAAACGUUUGCCGUGUGGUUGGCGAUGGGGAAGAUCAACUGAUGCAACGAUCUGUAAACGUU